rnacentral:snRNA from 1 species
CUCUUUUGAAAUCGUUGAUUAUU